CAAAAGUCUGCGCCUGCCUCCGUCUCCCUCUAUGAAACGUGACAAAAACAGUUCUCUUGUACGAUGGGCCCAGAGGGCUGCAAGCCAGAUGGGUACCCCUGGUCGUGUCAGCACAUCUGCGUUUUCAUGCCUGGAGCUGGCCCUGGAGAUGACACGAUAAGAGCUUGGCCAUCCACUGAAGAGGAGUGGUCCAUGACCAGACAGAACCUCCGGCCUCCCCACCUCCCUCUGGGGACCAUCAGACCUUCACUUGGAUGUUCUUCUCGCUCAGGAAAGAAACCGGUGCAGUGGAAUGUGAGGAUCAGAUAUCUGAAAAUUCUGUGUCUCAUGGUGACUUUGAAGAGGAAGAUAAGAUUGAGCAUCAGCUAGUUCCAAAAAAAGACAAACCACAGAACCAGCCCACUCCAGGACCAGCCCGUCAGCAGCCAGCUCCAGGACCAGCCUGUCAGCAGCCAGCCCCAGGACCAGAACAAGCCCGUCAGUAGCCAGCCCCAGGACCAGAACAAGCCCGUCAGCAGCCAGCCCCAGGACCAGAACAAGCCCGUCAGCAGCCAGCCCCAGGACCAGAACAAGCCCGUCAGCAGCC